CAGAAGUGACACUCAGCACACUCAAGCAAAAUAAAGUUUCCAUGACUGAGAGGCUGAAGCCACGAAGCUACAGCUGCUGGAUUGUGCAGAUGAGGGCUGGACCUCUCCAAGUGUGUCCUUCUCACCUUCUCUAAGUGAUCACUGCCAUUCCCAGGCUGAAGAAGAGAAAUGAGUUAUGUUUAUCAACCUCAUCACACAAAUCUAGCAUCCUAUGAUUAUGGAGCUUCAGAAGUCCCGAUGUUAAGCUGUCUGCAAGUGAGGCCUGGGCGUGCCAGCGCAUGGCGUGUUUGUCCUAAAGCCUCACAAUUGAAGGCGUUGGUGCAGCUUGAGGUCCCGGGCCUGGGAAGCCAGGGUUUGUAAUGUUCAACAGAAUAAAACCAUCCUGGCUCCAAGAGAAGAGACCAACUUCACCUUCCCUUUCAGCCUCUUGGCUCUAGCGAGGCUCUGUCUGAUGAAAGGCACCCAUUCAAACUGGUAGAAAAGCUCUCUGUUCAGCACACCAACUCACAUGGGCUAUCUGGACACACCCUCAUAGAUGUUUCUAGAAGGAAUGCUUUAUCUGAUCUCUAGACAUUAAGUUUUCUUCCAUUUCUUUCUUCAAACCCUUCCCAUGUACACCCCCACCAUGCUGCAUGCUGUCUUUCAAAUUCAUGCUCUCUCUCCCCCCCCUCUCUCCUAAACGUACAACUUGUUCUGUCCAUAUAACAGUACUUGUAUGUAUAUGAGUCUAUGACUGAACUUGGUAUUGGAGAAUCAAUUUGGGGGCUCUUCCCUGAGAGGACUAUUUUUCACCCCAUCUGACUGAUACCUAAAGUUUCUUAGAGCACCUCCCGAGUUAGAGUGAAAGUCAAGUCACAAGUUAUCUGAAGAAAGCCUUCAGUCUGGAGUUUAAAUAAUGUGUGGCUUUUGUGUUUGUCUGUCUUAGUUCUGGGGUUGUAGCUCAGGGCAGCAGUCAUACUAGAAAAACACUAUUGCUGACCUUGGCCAGAAUUGUGUGCGUAUGUGCGUGUGCAUGUGUGUGUGUGUGUGUGUGUGUGUGUGUGCAUUUCUGUGAUACUAGGUAUUGAGCAUCAUUGGAUGGGAUGCUGUCACUCACAUUCAAGACGGACCUUCCCUCCUCAGCUAAUCGUCUCUGGAAAGACUCUCUGAGGCACACCCACAGGCUCUCCUUGGUUUCCUAGCUAAUUAUAAAUCUAAUCAAACUGACUGACCAUCAGCCAUCACACAUCAUAGAGAUUUUUGUGAGGGUUAGAAGCCAUAAUAAAUGCCAAGCAUUUGUCAUUGAGCCUGGGCACACCAGUUAUUCAAUAAAGACGAUGGCACUUUAUAAGCAUUGACAGAUGAUUUAAUGUGUUGGUAGUUAUUCCAGAAUGAUUUUAGUAUUUCAUUUAAUUGUGAAAGUAAGUAACUUUAUUAGUGGAACAAAUCUUGUUAACCCUAAUAUGUCCCCAUCUUACUGAAGCAUUCUUUUGUUUUUGGUUUAAAGAUAUAUUUCAUUUGUAUUAAUCUGUGUGCAUGUGCAUGCACAUGUACCACAAUGUCUGUGGAAGCCACAGAGGGCACUGGAUACCCAGGAACUGGAAUUAUAGGCUAUUGUAAGCUCAGUGUGGUGCUAAGAACCAAACUCUCGUCAUUUGGAGGAGCAGCGAGUACUCUUAACCCUGAGCUAUUACUCUGGCUCUGUAAUCUUUCUUUUUUUUCUCUCCAGCCAGGCUUUUUCUAAACAGCCUUGGCUGUCCUAAAACUCACUCUGUAGGCGAAGUUGGCCUCGAACUCUGAGCCUGCCUGCCUCUGCUUCCUGGGUGCUGGAUUAAAGGCAUGAGCCUUCCCCUCCUGGCUCCUGUAAUCUUUCUUUAUGCCAUACUUGCCUGCUUAAAUUGUUACAGUGCGCUGAGAAAGAAUACUCAAGUCUGCGAACAGCCAUUUCAAGACUCUAAUUGUCAAACUUCGGGGCGCACCUGCUUGUUUAAUACGUCUAUUGCCUUUUCAUUGCGAGGGUCAAUUCACAGUAAUGAUAUGCACCCAUUUAGUGCUCCGUGGAACUAGCAUUAUUUUGUUAUAUCAGAACAAUCUAUAGUUUGUUGAAGAUGAUGCUAUUUAAUAACUACCUAACUUUCAUUAUCGCCUUCCUUGAAGAGAAAAUUGUAAUUAGAUUUUAUUUCUUUGGGAGAAAUUCAAAUAUUUAAUUAAAAACUAAAGUAUUUAAUUUCUCUCAAGGACUAAGAUUCUGGUGGCUUGCGCUCAGCGUGGGAGAGCUACAAGCCAUUAUAAUGCCUAAUAUUGUCCUCCCUCCUCCCUCCCAGGUAAGGCCUGGAGAAGUCACGGGCUGUUAUUUAAACACAUAUUCAGGACUGGAGGGCACGGCUUAGUCAUGAGGCAAAAGCAUGAGGAACUGAGCUCAGACCGACAACGCUGAUAGUAAAAGCCUCGCACUGCAGAGAACAGAGGCAGCAGGCUCCCUGGGCUACACCAGCCAGCAGCCUAGCUAGUCUCUGGCUUACACACACACACACACACACACACACACAGACUGGACUGUGCGCAUGUCUGUAAGGGCUUUUUUUUUUGGAUUAAUGAUUGAUGUGGGAGGGCCCCGCCCACUGUGUGCGAUGCAGAUAGAUGCUCCUGGGUUGUAUAAGAAGGCUAGCCGAGAAGGCCAUGAAGAACAAGCCAUAAGCAGUGUUCCUUUGUGGUUUCUGCUUCUGUUCCUGCCCCUGGGUUCUGCCUUGAGCUUCUGCCGCGACUUCCCGCCGCCAUGUUGGACUGCAUCCUAUGAAGCGAAAUAAGCCAUUUCCUUGCCCAGUUGCUUCCAGUCACGGUGACCAUCACACUAAUAGAAAGCAGAGCAGAGGACACAGGGCAGCACUCCGCGUGAGCCACUACGCACGCAAAGAUACAUUCAUGUGAAGGAACAGGGAGGUCCAGCUUCUGUCCGAGGGUAUGUGUAACAGUAGUGAGCUAUGUCAAGAGCCAGCACUGAAGAUGGGGACAGAGGCUGACUAGGCAGUGGGAAUGUUAAUGUGCUCUGUGUUCAAGACUUCAGAGACAUGGUGUUCAUGUCACCAUCAAUGAGGGUCUUCCUCAAAAUUGUGAAAACUGACCAGAUGUCACAUAGGAACUAGUUGUACAAGAAACUGGAUCCCAGAAUAAAACCUCAGAUGACUCAGAAUGAUUAGGCUAAAGGAAACAGAAUGUAUAAGAAAUAUGGUGAUCAUGCUAAAAUACUUUCAAGACACAAGGCAGGGAGUAAAUAGUAACGCAGGAUUGACCUACAUUAAGCUGUCAUUCCUGAGUGAAGGUUAAAGACACACAUUUCCAGCUAACCAAGAACCAAUAAACAAACAAAAAAACAAAAUCCCAAAUCCAAAACAAAACAAAAACCAACCUGAAGCUGUAAAGGCCUUUGUGAGCUGCCCAGCAUGGGUCCUGAGAACUAAACCUCAGACUUCUGCAAGAGCAUCAAAUGCUCUCCAGCCUUGUAGCAUACACUCAGAACUCUGUUGGGGAGGGAGAAGCAGAUAUUUGAAUCUAGCCUGGGCUACAUAGUGAAGGUCUAUCUUUAAAAGAAAAGCAUUAUCAAAAUUUGGGAAAUCUGAAUCAUCUAUACUUUAAUUGAUAUAUUGUGCCAAUGCCAACAUCUUAGCUUUGAUAAAAGUCAUGCUUCUAUAAGGUGUUAACUCGGGGCUGGAGAGAUGACUCAGUCCAUAAGAGCACUGACUCCUCUUCUGAAGGUCCUGAAUUCAAAUCCCAGCAACCACAUGGUGGCUCACAACCAUCCAUAAUGAAAUCUGAUACCCUCUUGGAGUGUCUGA